AAUUAGAUUCACAUGCCAAGUUAGAGAGCAGAUGAACUGAAGGACGGAGCAAAAAACAAGCAACAGAGUGCAGGAGGAAGCUAUACUUCCUCUUUCUAAAGGGAGAAAGGCUUUCUGGUCCGUUACAAACUUUCUUUGUUCACUUUCUCCCCUGCGGAUAAUUCUGCAAAAAGGAUGCAUAUACUUUGUGCCGUGUUGCUUUUGCCGUUUGUGAUCCUCACCCACUCUUCGUCUGCCUUAAAUAAAGUGUGGGAGGAAUGGCAAAUUGAACAUCACAAGGUUUAUGAUAAUAAGACUGAGAUGGAGUUCAGGAGAGCGGUGUGGGAGAAGAACAUGCUGUUAGUGUUGAGACACAACCAGGAGGCCUCAGCAGGAAACCACAGCUUCACCAUGGGUCUCAAUCAUCUCUCU